UGGAAUAUAUAGGCCAUGGAUGUGGCCUUGUCUCCCUAGGAGCUCAUCCCCUCACUGGGGAGAAAAAAAACUCAUGUAGAAAAUGACAAUAAAAGCCUCACAAUUGUAAGGCAAAGACCUGACAGAAUUCCUAAGCUCUGAUGGGGUACAGCCACCCAGCAAGACCAAAUCAAGUCGGUUUAAAUGAAAAGGGCUUUGUAAUAGGGGAUCUCCAAUUCAGUUUGAAGGAGUUGAUAGACAUGGAUUUGAGUUGAAUGAAAAAGACAUUCUAGGUGAGAGCAAAGACAGUAUCAGCAAUAUGGAAUCAUCAAUUGGGAUUGAGUUUCAGAUGAGAGGGCCUUUUAUUAAGUUUAUAUUGCAUUAAUUUGAAGCAAAAGUAGAAAUCCAUGAAUGGAUAGAAGUUAUGCAAAAUUGUAAAAACAUCACUUUACUAUUACAGGACUUUUCAAAUGUGUGUCUACAGGAGUGAUUGUUGUGUAGAAAUGAUGAUCUGGAAGCCAAGAUGAGGCCAUCAUAAUAGCCUCCAAAAUGAAAAAUGCAUAACAUCUGGGUAACGUGUGCAGCAUGGAGGAAUCAGACAAAUUCUAGUUUAUGUGUAUUAUUUGGUAACUGAUAGGAUUUUCUUUACUCAUCCUGGAAGUAGAUAAGUAAUGGAGCCCUAGAUAUGUUGAGUUCUGGGUGUGAAUGUAAUUCAAGUGCAUGCAAAGAAGUUAUGAAUUACUGUUUAUAAAUAAAAAGAAAGGAUAAAAGUGUGCAUUAUACAUUUGGUAAUUCAUCUGACAUUUGAAAUCAAAAUCUGUUUAUAUGAAAAUGCCACUUUUUCCAGUUUGUUGACCAGAACUUGAAAUUAAAUAAGAAUCAAUGUGUAGUAUCCUUCUUACAUUAGGACCUACUGCUAAAACUCAUCAAUUAUAAAUAAGUUGUUGCUCAAAUCUGACUUCUUCCCCAUGAAAUGGUUUUAAAUGUGUGUUUAAUGAUUUCUUUAACACUAGCUUUAAAUAUUCCAUGGCAGAACGUUUUAGUCUUUGUAUGGUUUGUAUGUAGAAAUUUAACAAAUAAAUACAUAUAGAAGAAAAAUAAGAAUUUUUCCUGCAACAUUAAAUAACUAUUAUGUCUGUGGAUAGCUAAUCUUUAAUUACUCUUUCAAAUAUCACACUUUGUAUACAUAAAUUGCAGCAAGGUAGAUAUUUUAGAAACUGUGGGAAAAUGUUUCAAGAAAGAAGUUAUGAAUUACUUUGUGUGUCAAGUUUAAUGCUUAUGAUUCGAAUUCAUAUUUCUCAUAAUUUAUUCUCUUCUUCAUUUCACUUGACUGAUAUGCUGCGAGUGCUGAUUGGCCUCCAGUAAUCAGAAGCAUUUGUGUGGGAUGUCAGCUGUGAGGUAUACCUUUCUUUCCUAUUUGAAGGAAUUGAAGAUAAGAAUAAUGUCCAUGCAAGUCGCAUAUUUAUUGGUGCAGCAAAGGAACUACACUGUGACCCAAGGGGCAAAAUGGUGGGGAAAAUGACAUAAAACCAUUUCAUCUUUUCAACUUUCUCUAUGGAAAUAAUCCUCAUAGUCUUCGCUGCUCAGCUAUUUACUUAGUUUAUUCCUUCAACUUUCUGCCCCUGCUAUCAACAACUUUAUCCUUUCAACUCACCUCAUAACUUGCAUGAGAAGACACAUCGGUGAAGAAUUUAACCACUUCAGUUGCCAUCCCUUCCUUUUUCCUCCCAUAUCACAUUAUGUAAAUGGCUGUGGUACAAUUUUAAACUAUCCUGUAAAAAUAGUACUAAUGAGAAAUUCUCAAUUUAAACCUUGGCCAGAUCACAAUUCUAACCUUGUGUUAAUUUUUUCAAUAGCCUUAAUUUCACUUGAGCAUGCCUUUAUCAGAGUUAGUUAUUUACUUUCCUCCUGUUUCACAUUAGAAAAAAGCAACAAACAGUAAACAGAGGUGAUGAGAUAUGAACUAUAAUACUUUCAUAUUUGACCAUCUUUAUUUCCUGCUUAUCUCAAAGAAUAAGGUCUUCUGACCCAUCCCUUUGGUGCAAGCAUUCUUGCUAAGUUCUCAAUGACCUCUUGUUUUCAAAUCCAGAGGAGUGAUUUGUCAUCUUACUUGGCCUGUGGGCUGUGUGUAAACUAUUGACUUCUAAAGCAUUCUAACUUCCUGCCACAGUUUCUUACUUCUCUUCCUUUCUUUGCCCUCAACUGUUUGCUUUCACCUGACUAUUCCCUCUCCUAUCUAGUGCUGAGAUAACCACAUAUUUAGCCAUGGUUCCAAAUAUACAUGUGGCAAGGAAAAUAUUUUUGUAGCAUUAACUACAACAUUCUCAUUUUCACACAAAGUUAUAAGGCUUGCUCUGUUACACUGAAUUUUGCGGAAAUCAUUUCCUUCAUAAUAAGGAAGAUUCAUGAUAAUCUCCAAACAUUUCCAAUUAUGAAACAUGUAGAUCCAGAGAAUGACACAGUUUUCUGAGGACCCACUCUCAUCUUCUGGUAUGAUGCCACAUGAACACUAUAUCCCAUGAGUUAUAAAGAAAGAGUUAAAGAACAGGCAGCUAUACAGGAGCCCACAGAGGUAAUAGUAACUGAGCAAUUUGUGGUUGGAAAUUGUUUGAAAUCCUGCAGACAAUGUUAUUGCUUCCACAUUAUACCUGCUGCCUUGACUCAUGUAGAAGUCAUGAAUAAAACCAGUAUAGAACAAA